rnacentral:lncRNA from 1 species
CUGGCAAUACCAAUGCCUUUGUGUCAGAGAGCCGGGCUUCCUCUUCUGAAGAGCUUAACAGCAGUGCCCACUGGCCUCAGUGGCAGUCCUGCAAGCUCAGUCCUCGUACAGAUCAGGCUCGUACGUACGAUGCAUAGGUUGGUCUGCCAGCGCAGACAGAUACACGGAAAAACUUCAUGCCUGAGGAUGUCCCAUUUUCCUCCAGCUGUUCGGAUGAGCCUUGGCAAAGCUAGAAAGUACCACAACCCUGGCUCCCAAAUCAAGAGUCAAGUGCUCCUGUGAAAGAGCUCAUGCAGAAAGCCAGCCAGCAGUAGAAGAGGCUAAGAAUAUUGAAAGGAAAAAAGAUGUAACUAGACAGGUAAAUAUUGCAUUGGGUGUUUGCUAAUGUAAUGUAUUUCUUUUUCCUCUUCCUGCUUCCCCUAUUGAGACAGAACUCUCAUCUGGGAACAAGGAGAAAUUCCCUCUUGUUUUGUUGCACUAGUGUGUAUAAAAAAAAUAUUUAUUUUUCCUCUUCCUGCUUCCCCUCUUGAGACAGAGAACUCUGAUCUGGAAGCAAGGAGACAUUCUUUCUUGUUUUGUUGCAUUAGUGUGUAUAGGCAAAGUUCGAAAAUUUAUAGGUUUUGAGAAUGAUGUUCUACCUUUAGAACUGUCAUGAACACUGAGUCUGGUUGCUGGAGGUCUUUCUUGGUGGACUUGAGAUGUUGACCAGGAGCUCUUUGAAUUCUUAGCCAGAAGGCAGCCAAGACUAUUUUCUUCCAACAGCUUAUUUUGGCAUUUUAAUCAAAGAGAUGUUAAUGAGCACACAGCAUUAAAAAGAGCUGCUCCUGCCUCAUACUAGAGCUCAUCUCCACCAUAAUAGCUCUACUGAAAAGAGGAAAACCAUGGUGUGGAUUCAGUCCUGUGUGAGCUUUGGCUCUGUUUCUUCUGUGAAGCUCUGUCCCGUGCACAGAAUGGGCAGCCUGACUCCUGUCUACCUUCCAUCUACCCUGGGAUGCCUGUCCUGAGUUACAGCAAUCAACAGCAUGACCCAGCCUUAUCUCAAACUGAGAAAUCAUAGAGCUAUUAAGAAUGCGGAAAAUACCUUUUUUCCCCCACCUCCCACCACACCCCCAGGCCCCAGGCAACUGCAAUCAGCAAAAGCUUUAAUGUAAGUGCUGUGAUACAGGCAAAAACAUUGUGAGCUUUUUUGCUGGUGUGGCUCUUUAUUAAUACCUGGGAAAAUAAACCACAAAAGCAUUGCUGAACUUUGCUAGUUACAGCAUUACAGCUGUAGCUGCGCCUUGUUUGGUGGUGACAAAAAGUAAGAUUUGAAACUGUGCAACCAGUGAGGCAAGAAAUAUAUUUUAUUAGAAGCUGCAGAACCACGAGGAGUGAAGGAACUAAGCUGCAGGCACCUAAGAAAAGCACUUGAACACAUUUUGAGGACAUCCAUAUGCACGUGAGGCCUUUCUAAGGAGAGCUGCAUAAUGCCUCUAAGUAUGGGACUUCUUGUCCCAGCUUGUGUAGGCUGGGAUACCAAGGACAGCUUGGUAUGGAGAGCAUCAGGCCUUUCGGGCUGUAAUAGUAAGUGGCUGACUCAGUUUCAGCCUAGUGGCCUCCUAAAACUCUCAAUAUGUGCCAGAUUCAAUGAGCUCUUCAUCACACGAAUGUCUGAAGAACCAGAUUGAGGCCAGCACAUCGGGGCAUGCAGAGUACUAAUCAGUGCUCGGAGGCUGAGUCACCAUCCACUCCUACCAGGCCAGGUUUUGAAGUAGGUCAGAGAUCAGUUGUUUAUUGUCAAAAUCCUUAAGCUCUCUAUCCUUCCUUGCCAGUACAGCUGUUCAGCUUUCCACCACUGUUUCAGAGUUACUCUAAGCAUCCUGUGCCACUUAGUCAACUUCUCCUUAACGUCGCUUUCCAGAGGGAAGCAAACAAAGCGUCACCCUCGGUCAGGGCAGGGUGCCCUCUGUGCAUGACCUUUACCAUGCUAACCUGCCCUCAUCCUGCCCGACAGCGUUAAUUGCCUCUUAGCGCGGCUUUGUCCGCAGCUCUGGGAGGUUAGGCCGGGCAGCUCAUGCUUGCAAUAGCUAGGAACUAGUAAUAGCCAGUUUGGAUCCCGGUAU